rnacentral:rRNA from 1 species
AGUGAACGCUGGCGGUAGGCCUAACACAUGCAAGUCGAACGGCAGCACAGUAAGAGCUUGCUCUUACGGGUGGCGAGUGGCGGACGGGUGAGGAAUACAUCGGAAUCUACUUUUUCGUGGGGGAUAACGUAGGGAAACUUACGCUAAUACCGCAUACGACCUACGGGUGAAAGCAGGGGAUCUUCGGACCUUGCGCGAUUGAAUGAGCCGAUGUCGGAUUAGCUAGUUGGCGGGGUAAAGGCCCACCAAGGCGACGAUCCGUAGCUGGUCUGAGAGGAUGAUCACCCACACUGGAACUGAGACACGGUCCAGACCCCUACGGGAGGGAGCAGUCGGGAAUAUUGGCCAAUGGGAGCAAGCCUGAUCCAGCCAUACCGCGUGGGUGAAGAAGGCCUUCGGGUUGUAAAGACCUUUUGUUGGGAAAGAAAAGCAGCAGGUUAAUACCCCGCUGUUCUGACGGUACCCAAAGAAUAAGCACCGGCUAACUUCGUG